rnacentral:tRNA from 1 species
GGAAUGUUUGUGGCUUAGGGGUAGAGCAUACACUUGGCAUGCAGAAAGUUCCAGGUUCAAUUCUUGGUAGCUCCA